rnacentral:lncRNA from 1 species
UUCACAGCUCGACAGAUCUGACCUCUUGGCGCUAAAAAUCAAAUAUCUAAUUGUACAGAAUUCAUAUAAGGUUACCAUUAAUUUAUUUUGAAAAUAGACUCACUAAGGAAUCUAAAAAUAUAAAUUAUGACCUAUAAUUAUUUCUGUACAAUUUAUAAUGAUUUUCUAAAGUUAGAACAGGGGACUUCAAAAACCAUUCUGACCCUGUCUCACUAAAAUUUAAAUAUCUCAAAAUAUAAAAUUCCUUUGCCUACACCGUUUCUUUCAUGUAAAAAUAGACUUGAUAAGCUUUAAUUCUAUAUAUCAUUCACCCUCUAAUUCCAUUUCUAC